CACAGCCGGGCAGGGCCUGACACACAGCUUCAGUACACUGAGGACACAACCAAACCAGGUCUCGGAAAGUCUGCACCACCACUACAAUACAGGCCAGGGUACAAGAGCACAGGAUUAGAGCCUCCAGGUUCUCAAGAAGGAAAAGGAGCAGACACCUACCUAUGGCAAAGAUGGCAGCCUGUGCAAAGUCCGCAGACACAUCCGUGCAGUACCCUCGAAGCUCCUCUAGCACCUGCUGCACAUUCUCAUCGUUCACCAGCUCACACAGCACCUCCACUUUCUGUAGUUUGAUGUAGUGGGGCUCCGAGUAGGAGCAAAAAAACUUUUUGUAGUGGCUACUAAAGUGACCUGGUAAACUAUGCAAGAUCUGGCGUACAUGACAAAGAGCAACAAAACAGAGCUCACGGCUCUCUGAAGAACAGGCAGCUAGCAAAGGUCCCUUGACCCGCACAAGGACAUCAGUUUGUACGUGGGGAAACUUUUUUGCCAAGAUCAGAAAAAGUUUGGUAGCUCCCAUCACCACACCUGGGCUACUGCUCUUGAGGAAACUAUCCAACAGAUUGAGAAUGUCAAAUAGUUCUUCCUCACUGCGGGGUUGGUAGCGUAGCAGAAAGUUCAAUACUUCAGCCUGGCCCCAUUGGUCCAGUUUUGACAUUCUAUCCAAAAAAGAAAACAAAAGAGCUACUUUAGCAACAAAAUUAGGACCAUUUCCAUGCCACUGCCAUAUGACCAGAUGGUUGUUCAUCAUAGCAAAGGGAGAAUUCUUAAAAAUAGGCUGUGCCAUAAUUAAGUCACUUUUCAUGUACUAUUUAAAGUUUACACAAAAAAGGCUUAAAAUUCCAAGAUGAGUUGUUAAUACAAAUGCACACUCAUCUAAGACCAAAGACAUGAUCAGCAUACACUGGGUCCAGGUUCCUUACAUUUUAAGACACUAUAAAUGGCUUAGUUUGGGGGACAUGACUAGAGAAGGGUAGAACCUAUUUCCACAGUAUAUUUCUAUUUCCCUAUAUCAAUAAGGGAAAGUAAGGCAAAUAAAAGAAAUUCUCUCAGUGAAAUGUGAGGGAGUUAAUAGUGGUUAACUGGCCGGGCACGGUGGCUCACGUCUGUAAUCCCAGCACUUUGGGAGGCUGAGGCGGGCGGAUCACCUGAGGUCAGAAGUUUGGGACCAGCCUGACCAACAUGGCGAAACCCUGUCUCUACUAAAAAUACAAAAUUAGCCGGGCGUGGUGGCGCAUGCCUAUAAUCCCAGCUACUCGGGAGGCUGAGGCAGGAGAAUUGCUUGAACCCAGGAGGCGGAGGUUGCGGUAAGCCGAGAUAGCGCCAUUGCACUCCAGCUUAGACAACAAGAGCAAAACUCCAUCUCAAAUAAUAAUAAUAAUAAUGGUUAACUUUCUUUUCUACCCCACAUAAGUUGUUCAAUACUUUAAUACAUCAACAAGAUCCCACAAGGUAGCAGAUCUCAUAAUAAAAAGAGUGCUGAGGCAUCCAAACCGAUUUAAGAGAUGGUGAGCAAUGGGCUUAUUGAUGACAACGCCUCCUUCCUGUUUCAGAAUUUCCUCUAGAGACCUCAAGCAGUUCACAACUACAAUUGGAUCCUGGUCACGCAGCAAACUGUAUAAUUCAUUUACCAGGGCACCAUCUAUAAAAAAGAACAAAGUUCUUAGAUAAAGAAGGAAAGCUUCAGAGUAACAGGGAUGUAGCCAGAGUAAUAGCUCCAGGUAGACAAAGUUGAACUUCUCUGCUACAAAAAUGACAAAGGCCACACUAAAGUGCAAGGCAAAAAAAAACUGCCAUGUCCAGACUGUUCUAAGCAGCUAAUACAAAGGAUCUCACUGGGGCCCCAGAGAAAGGACUUCUCAUCUCCAGAAGAUACCAAGCCCUGCAUCCUACUUAAAGAGAUAUAUACAGAACUGGGGCCACAUUAUUAUUUUCUACUAAAGCCACACAAUCUUUUUUAAAGUUAUACAUAAUGGAGGCACAUUGACCAUGAUGGAUUACACUGAACUUACCUACUUCAGAGUCUCCAUGAAGAUUAUGCAUCUUGGCACAUCCAAGGACUGCCACUCUCCUGACAUAUGAAGCCUUAUCCCGCAGACCAUUGAGAAUAGGCUGUUGUAUAUACUCCUGCACACCAGGCAUCCUAAGCAACACAUCCUGGAGUUAGCCAGAUUCUGAAAUACUAAUUUUGACAUACCUCAGCCCCUGUUCACCUAACAGACGGUUUAGUAGAUGCUGCACCCAUCAGAUCAUGAAGAAUUGCAGAAAGCCUCUAUCGAGCUUAAAAAGCCAUAAUUUGACUUUUCUGGUUUUUUCUUGUUUUUUUCAAGAUGGGGUCUCACUUUGUCACCCAGUGGCCCGAUCAUUCACUGCUGCCUCGAAUUCCCGGGCCCAAGCCAUCCUCCUGCCUCAGCCUUCCUAGUAGCUGAGACUACAGGUGCGUGUCACCAUGCCCAUUUAAUUUUUUGUAGAUAUAGGCUCUCACCAUCUUG